UUUAGGAGGGAACAAAUGAACGAAGUUCAUUUCUAUAAAUGUUCCCGACGAUUUGCCGCUGACUGUAAGGAAGGGGCAUUACAUUUA
rfam:Eubacterium sp. CAG:161 genomic scaffold, scf185